rnacentral:rRNA from 1 species
UAGUGGCGAACGGGUGAGUAACACGUGGGCAAUCUGCCCUUCACUCUGGGACAAGCCCUGGAAACGGGGUCUAAUACCGGAUAACACUCCUGCCUGCAUGGGUGGGGGUUAAAAGCUCCGGCGGUGAAGGAUGAGCCCGCGGCCUAUCAGCUUGUUGGUGAGGUAGUGGCUCACCAAGGCGACGACGGGUAGCCGGCCUGAGAGGGCGACCGGCCACACUGGGACUGAGACACGGCCCAGACUCCUACGGGAGGCAGCAGUGGGGAAUAUUGCACAAUGGGCGAAAGCCUGAUGCAGCGACGCCGCGUGAGGGAUGACGGCCUUCGGGUUGUAAACCUCUUUCAGCAGGGAAGAAGCGAAAGUGACGGUACCUGCAGAAGAAGCGCCGGCUAACUACGUGCCAGCAGCCGCGGUAAUACGUAGGGCGCAAGCGUUGUCCGGAAUUAUUGGGCGUAAAGAGCUCGUAGGCGGCUUGUCACGUCGGUUGUGAA